rnacentral:rRNA from 1 species
GCUUGUCUCAAAGAUUAAGCCAUGCAUGUCUAAGUAUAAGCCUUUGUACGGCGAAACUGCGAAUGGCUCAUUAAAACAGUUAUAGUUUAUUCGAUAAUCAAUCACUACAUGGAUAACUGUAGUAAUUCUAGAGCUAAUACAUGCGUCAGAACCCGACUUUACGGAAGGGUCGUGUAUAUUAGAUACAAAACCAACAUCUCGUUGGUGAUUCAUAAUAUCCAAGCGAAUCGUGGGGUAACCUGCGAUAGAUCGUUCAAGUUUCUGACCUAUCAGCUUUCGACGGUAGGGUAUUGGCCUACCGUGGCUAUGACGGGUAACGGAGAAUUAGGGUUCGAUUCCGGAGAGGGAGCCUGAGAAACGGCUACCACAUCUAAGGAAGGCAGCAGG